rnacentral:rRNA from 1 species
GCGCUGCGGCGUGCUUAACACAUGCAAGUCGAACGAUGAUCUCCAGCUUGCUGGGGGGAUUAGUGGCGAACGGGUGAGUAACACGUGAGUAACCUGCCCUUGACUCUGGGAUAAGCCUGGGAAACUGGGUCUAAUACCGGAUACGACCGUCCCGCGCAUGCGGUGGUGGUGGAAAGCUUUUGCGGUUUUGGAUGGACUCGCGGCCUAUCAGCUUGUUGGUGGGGUAAUGGCCUACCAAGGCGACGACGGGUAGCCGGCCUGAGAGGGUGACCGGCCACACUGGGACUGAGACACGGCCCAGACUCCUACGGGAGGCAGCAGUGGGGAAUAUUGCACAAUGGGCGAAAGCCUGAUGCAGCGACGCCGCGUGAGGGAUGACGGCCUUCGGGUUGUAAACCUCUUUCAGUAGGGAAGAAGCGAAAGUGACGGUACCUGCAGAAGAAGCGCCGGCUAACUACGUGCCAGCAGCCGCGGUAAUACGUAGGGCGCAAGCGUUAUCCGGAAUUAUUGGGCGUAAAGAGCUCGUAGGCGGUUUGUCGCGUCUGCUGUGAAAGACCGGGGCUCAACUCCGGUUCUGCAGUGGGUACGGGCAGACUAGAGUGAUGUAGGGGAGACUGGAAUUCCUGGUGUAGCGGUGAAAUGCGCAGAUAUCAGGAGGAACACCGAUGGCGAAGGCAGGUCUCUGGGCAUUAACUGACGCUGAGGAGCGAAAGCAUGGGGAGCGAACAGGAUUAGAUACCCUGGUAGUCCAUGCCGUAAACGUUGGGCACUAGGUGUGGGGGACAUUCCACGUUUUCCGCGCCGUAGCUAACGCAUUAAGUGCCCCGCCUGGA